CGCACGUAACAUGCAAACGAUGAUCAAAUAUGAAGUAACUACAUAUCGCUUUCUAAUCAUACAGUCUAAUAAUUAUAUUUCUACUGUUGCCUACACGGUAGACAUGGGCGCCCAUGGCAUGCAAGCAGUUAUCAGUCCAAGCUCGUUGAAAGAAGACGUUAGGAUUCGCCGACAACGUUGUAUACAAAUUUCCAGAAUCCUCCGGUCUCAGGUACAUUCCAGGCGGUAGGACGAAAGUCUCAACAUGCCCUCGCACAUCUGUAAUUGGAUUAAACGGUCAUCCAAAUCAGAAUUCUCACCCGUGCUCUGAUGGCAGGGCAUUUUGGACUCCAAGGUAUCGUUGGGUGGUUUGAAGUGAAAAAAUGAUGGAGAAUAGCCACUGGCCGGCAGCGAACUUAAUCCAUCAUCCCUGGGGUCUCUGUCUC